AUAAUAAUAAUAAUAAUAAUAAUAAUAAUAAUAAUAAUAAUAUUUACAUCCUGACCAUCUGAAUAAGGUUGCCCCAGGCACUCUGGGUGCCUCCCAACAAAAUAUUAAAAACACAAGAAAACAUCAACCAUUAAAAACUUCCCUGUACAGUAAAAUAGGGGCUGCAGUGGAUGACUCCCCCUGCCAUACCUGUCCAUAGAUGCGGUUGGGCUUCUUGCCUCGACAGUUGAA